rnacentral:rRNA from 1 species
UACGUAGGGUGCAAGCGUUGUCCGGAAUUAUUGGGCGUAAAGAGCUCGUAGGCGGUCUGUCGCGUCGGAUGUGAAAACCCAGGGCUCAACCCUGGGCCUGCAUUCGAUACGGGCAGACUAGAGUUCGGUAGGGGAGACUGGAAUUCCUGGUGUAGCGGUGAAAUGCGCAGAUAUCGGGAGGAACACCAGUGGCGAAGGCGGCUUCCUGGACCUGUUCUGACGCUGAGGAGCGAAAGCGUGGGGAGCGAUCCGG